UAGGCAUCUGUUUUGUGCCAGGUGCUUGUUAGGCAAUGGGGAGAAAGGGGGUAAAAGAGCCCCCUUUCUUCCCAGAAAGUUGUAGUUGGGGGAACAAAGACACAAGUAAGUAUGUAACAUUGUGUCAGCCAGUGACAAGGAGAAAGGAAGGACGAAUAAUAACAUCAAGCAUAACCCCAAAUCACACGUGUCCUGGUAAAGGAUGGACCCCGUGGGGAGACAGGUCUGCAGGGGAGAGGUGUCGCUGAGGUUUUAAGCAGGCUGCUUCACGCUCCGCAGUGCAUUCCUGAUGGCCUUGGGGGGCGGGGGGGGGGGGCGGGUGCCCGUCGGAUGUCCUCCUGGAGCGGAAUCUCCAGGAAUAAAAACCCAUCCUGGAAGGCUGCCCGACACCCUUUUUGGGGAAGGAGGUGGGACCGGACGCCAGGCAGGCAAUGCUGGCCAAGGUCAGAUGGAGUUUGCCUGUGAAUCCUCCACGAGGCUGGCCUGACGGAGCAGCGACCCCCACCUCAGCUCUCCAGCGACGUCUGAGUUCCUGCUGCCGUGACCUGAGUACCAGAGUUUGUUCAACAAAUGGGGACCAGAUGGAUGAUCUUCCCGAUGGGACUCAGGAAGGAGCAUUAUCUCCAGGUCAUACAGACCUCCUAAAUCACCUCCACCUUCCUGUAGCCUGGCUGGAAAGUCUACCCCUGGGCACUUUCUCUCGUUGGCUGAGCCCAGGGUUAAUUCCACACGUCCACAUUCAUUCUUGGGGGUUGUCUUUUCUGCAGGCCCCUUGCUUGAAAAUAGAAACACCCCUGGAAAGAA